CAAGGCUACAUACCUAGACAAGGGACCACCCACUGUUCUGGAGAAGAGCUGUUAGUUCCAGCUGUCUGCCCUCAUGCAUGCAGCUGUGGGAGGAGUUCCGGAGUCACGACCAGAUUCCUUAAGGGGUUUCAAAACUGGGCCCUUCUGCUGAUAGCUCAGCUGCUUCUGGCUUAGCUCUUCCCACCCCACCUCCAUCCCCACCUCUGUAGGACCCAUUUCCCUUGCUGGGUCACUAACCUCAGAACACCUUGGCCUGGCUAAGAUUUGAGAUGUACAUUCCUCCUCAGUGUUUCCAAUUAGCCAUUUCCCCACAGGAGUUUCUUCAGCCCACCCUGCUUCACCUUUUUCUUACUGAGGGUUUGACUGCUAAUGGCAAAGACAGAUGGAAAUAAAGUAGCCAGCUUGGGAGGAAAUCAGAUUCACAGGGAGUCUGGCCAUCCAAUCCAGAGAAGAUCUGAAUUUUCUUUUACUAGGAGCCAGGAGCAGGAGGACAGGAAAUGGCAAUCCACUCCAAUGUUCUUGCCUGGAGAAUCCCAGGGUCGGGGGAGUCUGGUGGGCUGCCAUCUACGGGGUCGCACAGAGUGGGCCACGACUGAAGCGAUUUAGCAGCAGCAGCAGCCGCCGCAGCAGCUCCCUCCCAGGCCUCAGGAGUGCUUUCCUUGCACAGCUGGGAGAAUUACCCAGGAAGAAAUGGAAUCUUAAAAUCCGAGUCUUGACUGAUUUAAGAAAAACCUUAUUCAAAUUUUCUAGCGAAGACAGCAGUGGUGCGGCUGAAAGACAUUACUGAGGAAGUUAUGCUAAAUCAGAGCCCAAGCCUUGCAAGGCAGGAGACACGGGUUUGAUCCCUGAUCAGGGAACUGAAAUUCUACAUGCCCAGAGACCACUAAGCAGGCACACAGCGACCACUGAGCCUACGUGCCACAGCUGGAGAGCCCCGUGCCACAGCAAAAGAUCCCGCCUGAUGCCACAAAGACACAAGGAUGCAGCCAAAUAAAUAAAUAAACAUUUAAUAAAUAAAUAAAUUCUGUCCCUCUUCCUUCUAAGUAU
ensembl:lncRNA